AGGAUACUCUACAACUAGGGUCAACAACCCAAUCAAAUCCUCUCCAAGUGAGGAUGCUCUACAACUAGAGUCAACAACCCAAUCAAAUCCUCUCCAAGUGAGGAUGCCCUACAACUAGGGUCAAUAUCUCAAUAACUCAUCGACAACCUCUCCAUGUGAGGGUACUUAGGUUUACUAAGUUCUUUAUCCACAAGGCAUUUUCUAAGGGAUUCACCUAUCCCUAGGUUCUCAAACCUCUAGUGUCAAAUACACUACAUUAAUGCCACUCGAUAUGUUCUUGUUUUCCAAAGUCAAUUUCUCUAAUCGACCAAGUUCAACAUGCAUAAUUCAUCUACUAUGUUCCACAAUAUGGCAACAUGUAUAAUUCUUCUAUCAUAUGCAAUAUAUGUCAUCAUGUAUAUGUUUCUAUUUAACAUAAUCCACAAUAUGUUAAUUCACAAUAUGUCAUCAUGCACAUAUAUUACUAGCAUCACAUGAUAUGUCAACAUACAUAUAAUCAUCAUCCAAAGUAGUCUAUACUUAGCAUCUCAUGCAAUCUUUUAGCUUUUAAUUCAUUAUACAUUUCAUCUCAUUUGUAGGUAAUAUCAACUACAUAGUAUGUUUCAAGCAUUCAUAUUAUCAUGUAAGCCUACCAAUACACCUAUAUGCAUCAAUGUGAAUUCGUAUGUUUCUUAGACAUAAAGGGCGACCUAGUCGCUUCGGUAAGCACAACCCACCUCAAAUCGCUUUCCGAUUGCUUGUCGACACUUGCA
rnacentral:lncRNA from 1 species